rnacentral:rRNA from 1 species
UUUGAUAGCUCCUUCCUACUUGGAUAACCGUGGUAAUUCUAGAGCUAAUACAUGCUAAAAAUCCCGACUUCGGAAGGGAUGUAUUUAUUAGAUUAAAAACCAAUGCCCCCUGGGCUCCCUGGUGAAUCAUGAUAACUGCUCGAAUCGCAUGGCCUUGCGCUGGCGAUGGCUCAUUCAAAUUUCUUCCCUAUCAACUUUCGAUGUUUGGGUAGUGGCCAAACAUGGUUGCAACGGGUAACGGAGGGUUAGGGCUCGACCCCGGAGAAGGAGCCUGAGAAACGGCUACUACAUCCAAGGAAGGCAGCAGGCGCGCAAAUUACCCAAUCCCGACACGGGGAGGUAGUGACAAUAAAUACUGAUACAGGGCUCUUUUGGGUCUUGUAAUUGGAAUGAGUACAAUUUAAAUCCCUUAACGAGGAACAAUUGGAGGGCAAGUCUGGUGCCAGCAGCCGCGGUAAUUCCAGCUCCAAUAGCGUAUAUUAAAGUUGUUGUGGUUAAAAAGCUCGUAGUUAAACANNNNNNNNNNGCGUAUAUUAAGUUGUUGUGGUUAAAAAGCUCGUAGUUGAACCUUGGGCCUGGCUGGCCGGUCCGCCUCACCGCGUGCACUGGUCCGGCCGGGCCUUUCCCUCCGCGGAACCCCAUGCCCUUCACUGGGCGUGGCGGGGAAACGGGACUUUUACUUUGAAAAAAUUAGAGUGCUCCAGGCAGGCCUAUGCUCGAAUACAUUAGCAUGGAAUAAUGGAAUAGGACGCGCGGUUCUAUUUUGUUGGUUUCUAGGACCGCCGUAAUGAUUGAUAGGGACAGUCGGGGGCGUCAGUAUUCAACCGUCAGAGGUGAAAUUCUUGGACCGGUUGAAGACUAACUACUGCGAAAGCAUUCGCCAAGGAUGUUUUCAUUAAUCAGGAACGAAAGCUAGGGGAUCGAAGACGAUCAGAUACCGUCGUAGUCUUAGCCAUAAACUAUGCCGACUAGGGAUCGGGCGAUGUUAUUCUUUGACUCGCUCGGCACCUUCCGAGAAAUCAAAGUGCUUGGGCUCCAGGGAGAGCGAAGG